rnacentral:rRNA from 1 species
UCUUUCAACCACCUGUGAACUUUUGAUAGAUCUGUGAAGUCGUCCUUCAAGUCGUCAGACUUGGUUUGCUGGGAUUUAAACGUCUCGGUGUGACUACGCAGUCUAUUUACUUACACACCCCAAAUGUAUGUCUACGAAUGUCAUUUAAUGGGCCUUGUGCCUAUAAACCAUAAUACAACUUUCAACAACGGAUCUCUUGGCUCUCCCAUCGAUGAAGAACGCAGCGAAAUGCGAUAAGUAAUGUGAAUUGCAGAAUUCAGUGAAUCAUCGAAUCUUUGAACGCACCUUGCGCCCCUUGGUAUUCCGAGGGGCAUGCCUGUUUGAGUGUCAUUAAAUUCUCAAACUCACAUUGGUUUUUUCUAUUUGUGAUGUUUGGAUUGUUGGGGGUUGCUGGCUGUAACACGUCGGCUCCUCUUAAAUGCAUUAGCAGGACUUCUCAUUGCCUCUGCGCAUGAUGUGAUAAUUCUCACUCAUCAAUAGCACGCAUGAAUAGAGUCCAGCUCUCUAAUCGUCCGCAAGGACAAUUUUUCUGACAAUUUGACCUCAAAUCAGGUAGGACUACCCGCUGAACUUAAGCUUAUCAAUAAGCGGAGGAAAAGAAACUAACAAGGAUUCCCCUAGUAACUGCGAGUGAAGCGGGAAAAGCUCAAAUUUAAAAUCUGGUGGUCUUUGGCCAUCCGAGUUGUAAUCUAGAGAAGUGUUAUCCGCGCUGGACCGUGUACAAGUCCCCUGGAAUGGGGCGUCAUAGAGGGUGAGAAUCCCGUCUUUGACACGGACUACCAGGGCUUUGUGAUGCACUCUCAAAGAGUCGAGUUGUUUGGGAAUGCAGCUCAAAAUGGGUGGUAAAUUCCAUCUAAAGCUAAAUAUUGGCGAGAGACCGAUAGCGAACAAGUACCGUGAGGGAAAGAUGAAAAGAACUUUGGAAUGAGAGUUAAACAGUACGUGAAAUUGUUGAAAGGGAAACGCUUGAAGUCAGUCGCGUCUGCCAGGGAUCAACCUUACUUUUGUGAGGCGUACUUCCUGGUUGAUGGGUCAGCAUCAGUUUUGGUCGCUGGAUAAAGGUCAGAGAAAUGUGGCACCUUCGGGUGUGUUAUAGUCUUUGAUCAGAUACAGUGGCUGGGACUGAGGAACUCAGCGCCGCAAGGCUGUCUUAGGAUGCUGGCAAAAUGGCUUUAAUCGACCCGUCUUGAAACACGGACCAAGGAGUCUAACAUGCCUGCGAGUGUUUGGGUGGAAAACCCGAGCGCGUAAUGAAAGUGAAAG